rnacentral:sRNA from 1 species
UUUUCUAUGGUCGGGUUGUUGUCUCUUUGGCACAUUCCCCAUUUCCAUUCUCAAUUUUAUAGAAGUGUUACUUGUUUGAAUCAUAUUAUCAAUAAAAUAAAAUUGGGAAAGGAAAUGGGGAAUGUGUCGUAGCGACAACAACCCGACCAUAGAG